rnacentral:rRNA from 1 species
UUUGUGUGUAAGGUACCGAUAAUGCAAGUUCGAGCGGACAGAUGGGAGCUUGCUCCCUGAUGUUAGCGGCGGACGGGUGAGUAACACGUUGGGUAACCUGCCUGUAAGACUGGGAUAACUCCGGGAAACCGGGGCUAAUACCGGAUGGUUGUCUGAACCGCAUGGUUCAGACAUAAAAGGUGGCUUCGGCUACCACUUACAGAUGGACCCGCGGCGCAUUAGCUAGUUGGUGAGGUAACGGCUCACCAAGGCGACGAUGCGUAGCCGACCUGAGAGGGUGAUCGGCCACACUGGGACUGAGACACGGCCCAGACUCCUACGGGAGGCAGCAGUAGGGAAUCUUCCGCAAUGGACGAAAGUCUGACGGAGCAACGCCGCGUGAGUGAUGAAGGUUUUCGGAUCGUAAAGCUCUGUUGUUAGGGAAGAACAAGUGCCGUUCAAAUAGGGCGGCACCUUGACGGUACCUAACCAGAAAGCCACGGCUAACUACGUGCCAGCAGCCGCGGUAAUACGUAGGUGGCAAGCGUUGUCCGGAAUUAUUGGGCGUAAAGGGCUCGCAGGCUGUUUCUUAAGUCUGAUGUGAAAGCCCCCGGCUCAACCGGUGAGGGUCAUUGGAAACUGGUAGAACUUGAUUGCCAAGUAUGGUAGUGGUACUUCCCUGUGU